AUGUAUAACUUAAGAUAUCAUUCUGUGACUGUGUAGCCUGCAUUCAAAUAAACUUGAGCAGGGCUCAUGGGAUGAGUCUGUGGACUGUGUUUAUCUGAUGUGCGUUCAAAUAUCACAAACAUCGCUUACGUACAUUCGCAAUUAGUUGCAAACAUGUUGUAUUGAACACACCGGUCGCAAACAGUUGCAACCAAUAAUCGAGGAUCGUAUGCGAAGGAAAACAAAAUGGCUGCCAUAAAACCUAUGUUUGCCGGUGGCUGGAUGAAAUUGAGGAUGGUACUUAGUUUAAACAUAUUUAUUUUACAACGAUUGUGAAACAAGUUAUUACAACAUUAUAUUAAUCACUCUCGUUGGCACGAUUUUACGCGAGACUGUGGUCUUGUGGAUGGUACUUGAUGACAGCACAACAGAUACCAUUCAGGUUGAUGCAGAGGCAUACCGCAAUAUUGUAUUUGACCAAGGUGUUACACUGAAGUUUGCACCAGUGUGUUUUCUGUCCUGAUCUGACCUUGUGUGGCCAAUAUGAAAUAACUGUGUGGCAAAUGGGAGAAACCUGCAGUCAGGAAUGCACUUAAAUCAUCAAAAGAAAACUGUGAAAUCUUGAAUAACUUUCAUUUGACAUUUAUUCAAGGUGCAUGUGUGUAUGCAGCAGUGUGUGGUUCUGUACGAUUUUGUGUUGCUUAAAACUCGAAGGCUAUUUUUGCCCCCCCCUUCAAAGAAGAGGGGUAUAGUGCUUGAAUGGCGGUUGGUCCGUCAGUAGACCAAAGCUUGUCUGAGUCAACAAUUCUGGGCAUUUGGUCAUCAAACUUGACAUGAACCUACAGCAUACCAUAUCAUCACAAUAUUAUACGUUUUCUUAAGUGUAAACAUAUAUAAAUGGAUUGCAUAAUUUGAUUACCUGUUAAUUAAUUCUGGUCUUUUAUCAGAUGAAGUUAAACCUCAACAGCACUGUGUCCAUUACUUAAUUCAACAACUAAAUUCUAAGAGAAACUUUGCACCAGGAAGAUAAUUUCCAGUAAUUGUUACUGCAAAAACCUUAUCAGAAGUAACCAUUGUUUACAUUUCUUUGUACUACCUUCCUGGAAAUUUUGUAUCAUGUGGUACACAUAGCAGAAAGCAAUGACAUAGUUGUAAAUCCCUCCUAUACAGAUAAGGACUGUUUAUCAGUAAGUUGGCUAUUGACUGGGAGAAUUAAUCUGGCCAUCUGCCUAUGUGCUAAAGGGUCAAGGAGGACAGACAAAUGGGUUUUCUACAAAUACCAUUAUGCUUACUAUAUCAUUGGCAAUAAUCCCUGUGUUCACCAUAACUAUAACACAAUGAAGUUAGAGUCUAUAUGUUAUACUGGUCUCUAAGGUCAGAUUGUGAAGUAUCUUUAUUGCAUUAAAGAGGUCCCACAUUGUAGAUGUGAGACAUUCGUAAGUGAAUUGGAAUACCAGUUCUUUACUGUUUUGAUCACAUCCAGCGACUUACCGGCAUAUUGAAAACAUAUGGACACAUGUACAUGUAUUAAAAAAAAAAGUCUCUACAUUUUAAAUUAAUACCCUCAAAAGAUAACCGAGGCAUUCGAAAGUGGGACUGAAAUUCCACAUCAGAAUACAUUGACACUACGUCUGGAACAUAACCUUCAACUCGAACUGCAGCAGGACUGCUACACAUCAGCUUCAAGGAAGUAUCUGUGGUUUAGAGGACUUAUAAAUACACCAGGACAAAAAAUACGUUUAAGGGGAAUAUCUUUGGAGUAAUCAAAAUCUGCACAAUUUAUAUUUUAUAUAGAUACAA